rnacentral:SRP_RNA from 1 species
GCCAGGCGCAGUGGUCCAUGCCUGUAGUCCCAGCAACUGGGGAGGCUGAGGUGGGAGGAUCGCUCGAGCCCAGGAGUUCUGGGCUGUAGUGCGCUAUGCGAUCGGGUGUCUGCACUAAGUUCGGCAUCAAUAUGGUGACCUCCUGGGAGCGGGGGAACACCAUGUUGCCUAAGGAGGGGUCGGAAAUGGAGCAGGUCAAAACUCCCGUGCUGAUCAGUAGUGGGAUCGAGAGUGUGAAUAGCCACUGCACUCCAGCCUGGGCAACAUAGCGAGACCCUGUCUCU